AAAACAAUGAAACUAAAGUCCACAACACUGACAAUGCCACUUGGCCAGGCUUGGGUGUAGUUCUCCAUGGUUAAAAAGAAGAGUUAUCUCUUGUCUGGCCCUCAUCCAAGGUGAGGACUGGGACUGAGCAGAAAACCUCUAGAAGUCGGUAGAUUUGAAGGAGGUAAAGCAGAAAUCUGAUUGUUCUUCAAGUUUACACAAUGAUUUUCAGAGCUGCAAACUAUCCAACCCAAAAUGUGGAUUAUAUAUGGAAUAAGCAAGAUGAGGUCCAAAGUCAAGUGCUUAGAGGUGAAACACCAGAUGUCCUCACGUGUGCCGGCAUGACCUGUGUUAUGUAUUAGGAUUGUAUAACUUGCUUGUUUGAAUUACCUUCUCUUCCUCCAAUCACUUACAGGUACACAGUGACUGAUGCUCAAUUCCUGGGCAUUAUUCUUCUGCCGUAACCUUUGUUUAACUCUUUGAUCCACACAUUUUAGUGGGUAUCUGUCAUUGCAUUGCUUGUGGUUGUGUUAUUUGUUACUGGAACCUAGGGUG
ensembl:lncRNA